rnacentral:tRNA from 1 species
GGGGAUGUAGCUCAAUGGUAGAGCACAUGGUUUAGCAUGAAUAAGGCCCUGGGCUUCGUCCCCA